CGUAGGGUGCAAGCGUUAAUCGGAAUUACUGGGCGUAAAGCGUGCGCAGGCGGCUUUGCAAGACAGAUGUGAAAUCCCCGGGCUUAACCUGGGAACUGCAUUUGUGACUGCAUGGCUGGAGUGCGGCAGAGGGGGAUGGAAUUCCGCGUGUAGCAGUGAAAUGCGUAGAUAUGCGGAGGAACACCGAUGGCGAAGGCAAUCCCCUGGGCCUGCACUGACGCUCAUGCACGAAAGCGUGGGGAGCAAACAGGGUUAGAUACCCUGGUAGUCCACGCCCUAAACGAUGUCAACUGGUUGUUGGACGGCUUGCUGUUCAGUAACGAAGCUAACGCGUGAAGUUGACCGCCUGGGGAGUACGGCCGCAAGGUUG
rnacentral:rRNA from 1 species